GCAUGCCAGUACGUAGAAAUACCAGCAUACUGCAUUACAUUGGCUCCCUGCACUGGCAAUACAAUUGCGAGCCGCAGCUCCCGCUGUUCCCUUCCCUUUGUGUUUUUAAACACAGCCAGGAAACUUAAUGUAUUCGUCAGGGGAGGGGCGGGAUGAGAGCGUUUUUAACCUCCCCGCCAUAAACUUUAAUCGGAUUCCGGGCUGUUGCACGGCAUGGACGCUCGCCUCUUGCUUGCGUCUCCUUCCCCGUUGUCUCCCAUGUCUACUUUUACUACGGUCUGUUCUGCGAGAGCCUCUUUCAAGCGAAUGAGUGAUUUCUUUCUCUUGCCAUGUGCAAUCGCUCCCCCUUCCCUUCCUACCCUCGCUGGCCUCUCUUACACACACUAUGCCUUUCACACGCGGUCUGCACCCCCAGCCCCCCUCCCUUUCUUUCUUUUUUGUAGUGUCUUCACAUGCAAUCUCUCUCUGAAUGUGCAAUGUCUUUCCUGCUCGGGAGUGCUGCGUCCUUCACAGUGGAUUGGUUCCUCUUUCGGAGCAGAGAAUUUCGAGCUAGAUAAUACACCAUAGAAGUUACUGACAGAGCAGAAUUAAUCUGUGUUGGAUAACACUGGUUAAAUCUCACAUGAUUAUAAUUGCUCAUUCUUAAAGUCGUAUUUGAGGAGAGCAUAAAAGAUCUGGCAUGUCUUCAUGAAUCUACUGUGUCAGUUGCCUGUUGAGCAGAAGAGAAAAUAUCCAAGCAAGAUGGCAACUCUGCAGAGUUCUGAAUAAGAACCUUUGAUAUCAUAAUUCAAACACUGUUAUGGAUAAUUGAAUUCUGUGAUGCUCUAUGCCUUUGUGUAAGUUAAUACCAGUAUAUGUUAUUGACUAUACCU